rnacentral:rRNA from 1 species
UGGGGAAUCUUGCACAAUGGGGGCAACCCUGAUGCAGCGACGCCGCGUGAGCGAUGAAGCCCUUCGGGGCGUAAAGCUCUUUCGACCGGAACGAUAAUGACGGUACCGGGAGAAGAAGCUGCGGCUAACUACGUGCCAGCAGCCGCGGUAAUACGUAGGCAGCAAGCGUUGUUCAGAGUUACUGGGCGUAAAGAGUGCGUAGGCGGUUUUCUAAGUUCGGUGUGAAAUCUCCCGGCUUAACUGGGAGGGUGCGCCGAAGACUGGGAAGCUGGAGUGUGGGAAAGGCAGGCGGAAUUCCUGGUGUAGCGGUGAAAUGCGUAGAUAUCAGGAGGAACACCGGCGGUGUAGACGGCUUGCUAAACCAUAACUGACGCUGAGGCACGAAAGCGUGGGUAGCAAACA